rnacentral:rRNA from 1 species
UACGUAGGGUGCAAACGUUGUUCGGAAUCACUGGGCAUAAAGAGCGCGUAGGCGGUCUGACAAGUCCCCUGUGAAAGCCCCCGGCUUAACCGGGGAACUGCAUGGGAUACUGUUGGGCUAGAGUGCAGGAGGGGAGAGCGGAAUUCCUGGCGGAGCGGUGAAAUGCGUAGAUAUCAGGAGGAACACCAAUAGCGAAGGCAGCUCGCUGGGACGUUACUGACACUGAGGCGCGAAAGCGUGGGGAGCGAACAGG